rnacentral:rRNA from 1 species
UACGGAGGGUGCAAGCGUUAUCCGGAUUCACUGGGUUUAAAGGGCUCGUAGGUGGCCAACUAAGUCAGACGUGAAAUCCCUCGGCUUAACCGGGGAACUGCGUCUGAUACUGGUUGGCUUGAGUUUGGGAGAGGGAUGCGGAAUUCCAGGUGUAGCGGUGAAAUGCGUAGAUAUCUGGAGGAACACCGGUGGCGAAGGCGGCAUCCUGGACCAACACUGACGCUGAGGAGCGAAAGCCAGGGGAGCAAACGGG